UGAUUUUUAAUUGUUGCUACACCCAAAAGUAUAGCAACAGGCAACACUUACUGCUGCAGCUAAAUUUGGUUGGCGAAACAACAGCAACAGCCUUAUAUGAACAGACUGCUAUAUAUAUCUAUAUCUCUUUGUUAACAAUACACAUACAGUGGAACCCCGAUGGCUCGAACUUCAAGGGACCGGCGAAAAUAUCUCGAGCCAAGCGGGAAUGUUUACCUUCAGUAUAAAUAUAUCGGUUCUUGACAUCUAGUUUGAACCAUCGAGGAAUUCGAGCCAAGCGAGUUCGCGAAAACGGGGUUCGACUGAACGAACCUUUUGGUACAAAUAAUUUUUUUCUUGAAAUUUUGUCGUUCUUACAAAAUCGGAGCCUCUUAAUCCGUGUUUCUUUUGUAUAUCUACACAAUGUCAUUAUGUCUGUUUGUGAUUAGGAUGAUACGAGUCUUGUGUGUGGUGUUUAUAUUUCGUUGUCUUUAUGUCGCCUUUUUAAUUUCGACUGUAUAUAGUUUUAAUCAUAUAAUUCAUGAACCAUGUUUGGGGGACAUAGAAAUAAGUUAUUCAACAGUAUAGUUAUUUCGAUCAAUAUAGUUUGAAUAUAUAAUUAUUCAGUACUUUUUUAUAUUUUAGUUAUCAUAUCUCUUGUUUGAUGCGAAUAGACUGUUUGAAUGUUAGUUUCAAUAUUUCUACAUGUUAUAAUGUUUUUUUCUUACGAUAUAAGCUGUCCUUACAUUAAACAUUGUGGCUUUCAUAAACAGUCAAUUGCUAUAAGUACUUUCUGAAGUAUCUUUAAUGACAAGCCCUUGCAUGGUACUUGAUAUUGCAGCAUAAUUGAGAUCAAAUCAUUUAAUCAGUCCAAAGGUUUCUCUAUCUUGGUCCAGAAGAUAAUUGAAUUAGAUAUCGCGGUUUCAACUCGUAUGGAGUCGUAAUUGUACGUGAGCGAUCGUUGUACCGAAGAUACGCGAUUAUGUCUUACGAUUACAGAUGAUAAGACUCGGCAGUUUCCGUCGUGAAUUAACGAGUUUCCGAACUUUUCCAAGUGCAUGAUACGCCCCUUUCCUCAAGCCUCACAAAAACAGCUGAUUUGCGUGGAUGAGACUUUAACGCGGUCCCUUCCCCACCCUGAGGACAGGGGAAAAGGUGGGGGAGGGGUAGGGUAUGGGAGGGGUAUUGGGUGUGGUAAAUACAAGUGUAAAUCAUGGAGUAUCAUAUUUGUAAACCAACCAAUAUGGCGCAACAAAACGAUGAACGAUGCGCCUCCUCUUGGAAAGCUGUCACACACAAUCCUGCGAACAAGUGGUAGUUGGCGAGCGACCGUUCCUUCAACGAAAUCGUAUGUAGCCACACCAGAAACUCCGCUCGGGCAUUUAUAUUCCCUCGGCGUGGAUUGGACAUGGAUGACGACAUGAUUGGCGUCCUUAAACGUCCUUAAUAAAUGCAACGCUUGUUCUUGUUCUACUGGGACUGAUUGAUGUGUAUCUUUUGACUUUCUUUGAGCUGUAUGGAUUUUGGUGGAAUUAGAUUGGAGUUGGAAUAUAAUACACUACUUACAAACAUAUAAUUUUAUCGCAGAAGCAUUUGGAAAACAACGCUUGUCACAACAAAUUGACUCUCCUUUCCGAGAAUAGUUCAUCUACAUAUCUGCUUUUUAGUUGUUUUAAAACUGCAUGUCAUCCUAGUUGUAUAUAUCAUAACGAAUAGUUAGGUGGUGGAUUCAAUAAUCAAGACACGUAUUUUAAUGUUUAUCCUAUGUAAUCAAUAAUUGGUGGUGGGUUUUAUACUAUGUAAUCAAGAAUUGAUGUUGGGUUUUAUCUCUAUAAUCAAUAUUUGGUGGUGGGUUUUAUACUAUGUAAUCACUAUUUGGUGGUGGGCUUUAUACUAUGUAAUCACUAUUUGGUGGUGGGUUUUAUACUAUGUAAUCAAGAAUUGGUGGUGGGUUUUAUCUCUAUAAUCAAUAUUUGGUGGUGGGUUUUAUACUAUGUAAUCAAGAAUUGAUGUUGGGUUUUAUCUCUAUAAUCAAUAUUUGGUGGUGGGUUUUAUACUAUGUAAUCACUAUUUGGUGGUGGGUUUUAUACUAUGUAAUCAAUAUUUGGUGGUGGGUUUUAUACUAUGUAAUCAAGAAUUGAUGUUGGGUUUUAUCUCUAUAAUCAAUAUUUGGUGGUGGGUUUUAUACUAUGUAAUCACUAUUUGGUGGUGGGCUUUAUCCUAUGUAAUCAAGAAUUGGUGGUGGGUUUUAUCUCUAUAAUCAAUAUUUGGUGGUGGGUUUUAUACUAUGUAAUCAAGAAUUGAUGUUGGGUUUUAUCUCUAUAAUCAAUAAUUGGUGGUGGGUUUUAUACUAUGUAAUCAAUAUUUGGUGGUGGGUUUUAUACUAUGUAAUCAAGAAUUGAUGUUGGGUUUUAUCUCUAUAAUCACUAUUUGGUGGUGGGCUUUAUACUAUGUAAUCAAGAAUUGGUGGUGGGUUUUAUAUUCUGUAAUCAAUAUUUGGUGGUGGGUUUUGUAUUCUGUAAUCAAUAGUGGGUGGUGGGUUUUAUACUAUAAAAUUGAAAUGUGUUAAUGUAGUCCUUCUUAAUUAGUAUUUAGUGAUGUAUUGCUUUAAUUGUAAUCGGAAUUUGUCAGUCCUUUGUAAUGGGUAGUCGCUAUAUCAAUUUAUUCGGUUUUUAUCCUUAUUUCUAGUAUUCGGUAAUGGUCUUUUCUCCAGUGUAAUCAGAAUUUCGUGAUCGAAUUUGUAAUAUGUAUUUGAACAGUUUUUAACCUAUAGCCAAUCAUUUAAUAAUAUUUAUUUUGUAUGUAUACAUUUGAGCAUUUACAAGUACUUGAAUAUGUAUCGUCACUAUAAUAUAUCACACAUUAGGAGCCUAAUUGGCUUAUCAGUCUUUUAUUUCAUAUGUUCAUAUGCCUUUCAAGCAAUCACUGGAUGCAAUGCCAAUACAUUAUUAUAACAGUUUUAUAGUCGGGUUGAAGGAUUUAUUGCUGACAUGAACGGGUAUAAUAUUCACAAGAGCAUUUUAUAUCACAAGCAAAAGCCCCUUUUAGCAUAUGCGUACGUACAUAUUUGUUAUCAAAACAAUAAUGGUAGUAUAUAAAGUCAUAUUUCUGAAAUACAAACAUUAAGCCAUGCUUUAUAAUGUAUUAGUUUGAAUGGUGAUUAUUGUCAAGACUGCACUUAUUUAUGUGCAACCUUUCAUAUGUAACAUUGCACAAACGAUAUAUUCACGAUAAGGACUUUAACCGAAUUCUAUGACGUUCUCAUGUGUAUUAAUUAUGUAUAUUUUGUAUAUAACAUGUAUCUUUUGAAAUGGAGACUGAACGGGAUUUCGACGUCAUUACUUUGGCCAUUGUUUUGUCAACCAGUCAAUAUUUAUAAACUUUGAAAAGCUUCAAAUCAUGCGAUCUACAUACUUUCGAAUCUUUCCUUUGCUUACAAUAUAUAACUUCGGCAAUUCAAACGGAAAACAAUUUGGUUUUAGGGGUAUGCUUACAUAAAACUGGAACAUAUGAACAACAGUUGACAGCUUUUGAAUUGUUUUAAUGACAUAUAAUAAUAACAAUAACACUACUGGGGUGCAUCACGUGACCUAGUUCGGCACAAACUCUCGUUCAUAGUCUCGUUUCACUCAGUGCUCGCGAUGCCAAAGAACAAGAUUUGUAUAUAAUAAUAUUUAUUUUAUUUUAUGUGUAUAUGGCGCCAUAUAUAAAUGCUACUUUAUGCUUUUUGUCAAUAUGUUUUUUAUUUAAUUCAAAUUUCAUUAUACGUUAACGUCAGGUUGUUCCUGUUGAAUCCAAUACGAGUGUUUGUAUCAGAUGAGUGUACAAUGUAUGUCAUUUUGUUUGUUUCUGCUGCUAGGUGUGUAUGCAUAAGUUCUUGUGUCUGUGAAGAUUAUAUUAUUGAUCCUAUUUCGAGAUGUGCAAGCAUGUGUGCUAUUAGAAAUGGUGACAUUCUAGUCAAAAUAACAUUUAUCAACAUAACGUAUUUCCAUUCAAUACAAACACUUAUCCUUUUUUUUUAAUUUCAUUACAUGAACAUUUUGUUCAAUUCCAUGAUUUUUUUAAGGUUUUCCUUUUCAAAUCAAAGUUAUCAAUAAUAUGUUUUGAAACCAUUGACCUGUUGUGGACCUAAUGUCAUUCUUAUAUUUCGACAAGUAUGAAGAGUCUGAACGUUAUAACACCAUGUUUUUUUCAACUACUAGUAUUAGACUUCAUCACUUUAUUCUGUUUUAAAUGCGGAUAUUUAUGAGCUGGUUGUCAAGUAUUUGUAAAUAUAAUAAAAAAUACAUUAAUGUUGCGAUAUUUUUAAACAUGAAGCAAACUAUAAAUGGCAAUUUCAUUAUAAACCAAAACAAAAUACCAUUCCAUAGAGACGCCACACUGAAGUCCCAUGCCUAUGAUAGGACGCGAACAUGGAACGACUACCAUACAAAUCAUCGUCAAUCCACUCCUAGUUAAUAUAUAUUACAAUGAUGUAUAUUUGUCUUUAUAUUUUUUCAUUAUUAAAGCUUUGUAUGUGUAUAUAUGCUAUUUUGUGGGCGGGAAAGGUGCAAUAUUGUCUUCGUCAUGUACAGAGUCUAUGCUUAAGUAUAGUCCUGUUUAUUUAUGUAGUUUAAGCUUUGUUUAAUGCGCAGUUUUAUGCAAUCCAUUUUUCUGUCCCUCAUGGUUACAUAUUCGUGUAUCAAUGGUGUUAUUUAAAGCCCCCCCUCCCCAUCAAUGUUCAUUCCUAACUGACCUAUAUUAUGUUUAUGAAAUUAUGUAUUAAUCAUUUUGCAAAAGGAAAGUGUGCAGUUAUUUUUUUACAUAAUUUUAUUAAUGGUAUGCGAUACAAAAUAUUGCCAUUUUUUUAUGCCAGAUGAUCCUUUUUUGUUUUGGUAUCAGUUGAAAGUUUUUAAAGUUCAAAGAAAGAAUAUGUACAACUUAUUAAAAGCACACAGUUUAAACUUAAAAGAUGGCUUAAUAGGCAGUCUUGCGUACGAUUUCAAUAACGAACAAAAAAACUGCACUUACUUUAUCUAUAAUGUAUUUUCGCUCAUUUCUUUACAUUGAAGUAUAUCAGGAAUAAAAACUCUUUUAUACAAUUCCAAAAUCAUAUGGGGAUCUCCAGGCAUCAAAAGUUACCAUUAUUGAAAAUAGUUUCUUCAGUAACAAGCUGAUGGGAACAACGUAUACUUGAAAGUCUUCUCAUCUCAGAAAUAAAGCCCAUUUUUCUUCCCUUUUCGUUGACACAUAUCAAGAAGUAUUCUAAGAGGAGCUUUCCUCGCACAGUAUACAAACUCUUGCUUUGACAAUAAGAAUUAUUUGAUUCUAGUUGAAACUGUUGAAUGUUGCUAUAUGUGUUAACACACGCAAGUCAGAACUUUUUUAGUAAUAAGUGCACACUUUCUUUUUAUUUUUAAAUGUAUAUAUCGGUUUUGAACGUAAUCAGUUAACCUGUUUAUAAAAUAUCAAAACCGAGGCUCCUAUGCUGUAUUGUGAUAACUUGAACAUUCCAUCAUCUUCAUCAUUAUCAUCGUCAUUACCGUAGUCAUCUUUUUAUGUAAUUUGUAGUUAGUUCCUAAUUGCAUUCAGUACCAAAAUAAUACUCAUGUACACUAUACUAACAUUGUUAAUGUCAAAACAUUUAAUUAAUUAUAAUGUACAAUAAACAUGAACGGUAUGAAAUAACAGGA